GCUGGAUGUGGUGGCGCACAUCUGUAAUCCAGCACUUUGGGAGGCCGAGCUGGGCGGAUCACCUGAGGUCAGGAGUUCGAGACCAGCCUGGCCAACAUGGUGAAACCCCAUCUCUA
rnacentral:SRP_RNA from 2 species